AGAAAAAGAAAAGAUGAAGAUCAUGGAAGAUGAAGAACGAACCUGCUGAAAGCGCCGCUGCCGGAGUUCUAUCGAGAUAUGCGAAUGGCAAAGAAUGCACUGCCGGGAGUGUGCGAACGGUGAAGACGGAAAAGCCCGCCCGGGGGGUCUUUGCGCGUAGAGAGAGAGAGAAAGAGAGAGAGAAAGGGAGAGGCGGUUGUGUGUGUAAUGCGUGAAAAAAAAAAGGGGAAAGAGGAAUUAGGGUUAGGGAAAGGGGUCUUCGGGCGUAGAGAGAGAGAGAGAGAGAAAGAGAGAGAGAGAGAGAGAGAGGCGGCUUUGUGUGUAUAAUAAUAAUAAUAAUAAUAAUAAUAAUAAUAAUAAUGUGUGAAAGAAAAAGGGAAAGCGAAAUUAGGGUCAGAAAAAAGAAAAGUUAAAAUUGUUGCAAUAUUAUUCGUUAAAUUUUAAUUUGACUGUCAAAAUUCUAAAUAUAAGUGGGUCUCUUUAUAAAUAAGUAGGACUUUAUUUUUUAAAUUGGGCUAAAAAAUUUAAAAAAUAAUAAUCUGUAUUAUUUAUUUAUAUAUAAAUAUAAUUAUAUGUUUAUAUAUAUA
rnacentral:lncRNA from 1 species